AUUGAACGCUGGCGGCAGGCCUAACACAUGCAAGUCGAGCGGAUGAGUGGAGCUUGCUCCAUGAUUCAGCGGCGGACGGGUGAGUAAUGCCUAGGAAUCUGCCUGGUAGUGGGGGACAACGUUUCGAAAGGAACGCUAAUACCGCAUACGUCCUACGGGAGAAAGUGGGGGAUCUUCGGACCUCACGCUAUCAGAUGAGCCUAGGUCGGAUUAGCUAGUUGGUGAGGUAAAGGCUAACCAAGGCGACGAUCCGUAACUGGGCUGAGAGGAUGAUCAGUCACACUGGAACUGAGACACGGUCCAGACUCCUACGGGAGGCAGCAGUGGGGAAUAUUGGACAAUGGGCGAAAGCCUGAUCCAGCCAUGCCGCGUGUGUGAAGAAGGUCUUCGGAUUGUAAAGCACUUUAAGUUGGGAGGAAGGGCAGUAAGUUAAUACCUUGCUGUUUUGACGUUACCAACAGAAUAAGCACCGGCUAACUUCGUGCCAGCCGCCGCGGUAAUAC
rnacentral:rRNA from 1 species